GUUGCAAGACUAUUUACGCCUUACAACAGAGGAAGAGGACUUGCAAGACGAACAAGCUUGCCUGUGAUGAGUCGUGCAGUAUCCUGCAGCUUUACGCAUAACUUCUGCUGUCUUGAUGACAAAAAUGCAGAUUUAGUACCCAGUCGCUGUGCAAAAGACAGAUUGUUCUCUGCUGGGUUAGGGGAGAAACGUGUCACCUUUCGAGGAUGCCAUGCAGAUCCCCAAAAAUUUAAGGAUGUCAUCGUGGAGGCUUUUCCAAAACUCAGACAAGGUGGUGGGUUUGAGUUGCUAAAAAUAUCUGGAAAUACAAGGAGCCGUUAUCUCAGCUUGAUACCCUGUCCAAAUGAGGGGUACCAUGUAAAGUAUUUGAAAGAUCCUCAAAAUCAAAUUGGUCAUGCAACCAUUUUCAUUCGUCACUUCAACGAAACUUAAGAAGUUGAAUCACCAAGUCUUCCUAGCAGAGAUGAGUUGAUUGGACCACCUCAAAAAUGUGUUGUAUGUGGAGAUGAAUUCCCCUUUGCAGCUCUC